AGCAGCCGCGGUAAUUCCAGCUCCAAUAGCGUAUAUUAAAGUUGUUGCAGUUAAAAAGCUCGUAGUUGAACCUUAGGCCCGUGCGGGUGGUCCGUCCUCUGGGCGAGCACUGCGUCGUCGCGGGUCUCACCUUCUGGCGAGCGUGGAUGCCAUUCACUUGGUGUCCGCGGGAACCAGGACCUUUACCUUGAAAAAAUUAGAGUGCUCAAAGCGGGCUCGUACGCUUGAAUACAUUAGCAUGGAAUAAUGAAAUAGGACGACGGUUCUAUUUUGUUGGUUUCCGGGACAGUCGUAAUGAUUAAUAGGGAUAGUUGGGGGGAUUCGUAUUCAAUUGUCAGAGGUGAAAUUCUUGGAUUUAUUGAAGACGAACUACUGCGAAAGCAUUUGCCAAGGAUGUUUUCAUUAAUCAAGAACGAAAGUUGGGGGAUCGAAGACGAUCAGAUACCGUCGUAGUCUCAACCAUAAACUAUGCCGACUGGGAAUCGGGCGAUGUUACUCUUUUGACUCGCUCGGCGCCCCGAG
rnacentral:rRNA from 1 species